rnacentral:lncRNA from 1 species
GGAGCGGCUGGGACUGGGGAGGGGAGCGGUUCUACUGUUCGUAUAAUAUAUUAUGAGACUUGCAUGAUAGAAGUUACUAAUAUGCACAUGAUCUGUUGGUCUAGCUGACUAAAAUAUUAAGAAUAUUAAAUUACUGAUUGAAUGUGCUUGCUAGCAAUACUAUUUAUGACUUGCAACCAUUUUGAAUUUAGUGGCAAUAAGCCUUGCUAUUGCAACGAAAAACAGUUUUAUAACAACGCAAAUCAACUGUGGCAAAAUUUUCAGCGACUCGCAACCAUUUUUCAACUCGUGG